rnacentral:lncRNA from 1 species
CAGAAAUCAUUUCCACUCCCCAAAGUUAUAUAAAUAUUCAGAUAUAUUUUUCAUUGAUAUUAAUGGUUUUGCUAUCUGUGUGUAUAUUUAAAUUACUUUAACUUGUUUUGAAGCAAGGGUUGAAUUCCUUUUUUCUUUCCUUGAAGGGUCAGCCAAUAGCCUCAACAGCAUCUGAGGGCAAAUCUUGUCUCAGAGCUCAUCUUCCUAGAAAGUUCCAUUGUUCUUCCCAAGCAAAGAGUCGUCCAAAUGAGCAGCAAAAUAAAUGUUUUAACAUACAAAAAUAUUACUCUGCAGACUUCUUUGGGGAGAAUCAACAUCUUUAAUGAGUGCCCAAACUGUGGAAGUGAGAAAGAGGGACGGAUCACCUGUCCCCAAACACAUACCCUCAAGGGUGAACCUGAAGAUCUAGAUUUCGGGAGAUAAUUCUGACCUUUCCUGGAACUGAGCCAACUUAAUGAGCUGAACAAAAUACAGGGAUAGAGGAAGCAGCAGGAAAAGCCCUGUGAGCUCACUGAGUCCCCUAGCAAAUCAUUUCUGUUUUGCUUCUCAGGGGUCCUUGAGGAGGACUUCCAGAGACACUAGGAAAAGGCCACAGGGAGAAGGAAACUCCAGCUGAA